GUCUUUAGUGGGUCACUAAGCCCAGUCCCUGCUCCAUGGGAGGGGCUUAUGUGAUGAUGUGAAUACCAGAAGGUACCUCUCAAUGGUGGCCAUCUUGGAGACUGGCUAUCACAGUGUAAGAGCAGGAAGGGCUGCUGACCCGCUGGUGUCAUGAAUGGAGGAACUGAGGUCCAGGAGGCCAGAUAUCUUGUUUAUGGCCCAAGUCGGGACACCGAGCUAAUGAGCCCAAGAGCACGUGCUGCUGCUGGAAGGGGCCGGCACAGAGCGGUUCAGGCUGCUGGCUCCCCCCGCCCUGCCCUGCAGUUCCGGGGGUCUCGUUGUAGUUUGAGCCUCCGCCCGUCCUCCAGGCUGUCAGCGAAGACUGCAGGUGGCCUCCCUGGAGACCCCUCCCCGUUCGCUGCUGCUAACAGCUUAGCAAGCAGAGGACCGGCACUGCCAGUCUGAGUGCAGAGGAAGAGCCAGCGGGCGCUCCGGGAGGCCUCAGAGGCUUUUUGGACAAUAAAGGGUAUGGCAACUGGGUAUCCACUUGGUGGCC
rnacentral:lncRNA from 1 species